UGCGCGGUAGAGAAGUGGUCAUCUCGCUUGGCUCAUAACCAAGAGACCGUCGGUUCGAAUCCGGCCGGCGCAACCA
rnacentral:tRNA from 1 species